CACGUUGGUAUCUGCCCCCAAGUCAGGGAUAGCCAUUGGAAACGAUGAUUAAUACCGGAUAGUCUCUUCGGAGUAAAGAUUUAUUGCUUGGGGAGGAGCCUGCGUUCUAUCAGCUUGUUGGUAGUGUAAAAGACUACCAAGGCUAUGACGGAUACCUGGUCUGAGAGGAUGAUCAGGCACAAUGGAACUGAGACACGGUCCAUACUCCUACGGGAGGCAGCAGUGAGGAAUCUUCCACAAUGGACGAAAGUCUGAUGGAGCGACACCGCGUGAAGGAUGAAGGCCUAACGGUUGUAAACU
rnacentral:rRNA from 1 species